AACGAACGCUGGCGGCAUGCCUAACACAUGCAAGUCGAACGAGACCUUCGGGUCUAGUGGCGCACGGGUGCGUAACGCGUGGGAACCUGCCCUUAGGUUCGGAAUAACUCCCCGAAAGGGGUGCUAAUACCGGAUAAUGUCUUCGGACCAAAGAUUUAUCGCCUUUGGAUGGGCCCGCGUUGGAUUAGCUAGUUGGUAGGGUAAAAGCCUACCAAGGCGACGAUCCAUAGCUGGUCUGAGCGGAUGAUCAGCCACACUGGGAGUGGGACACGGCCCAGACGACUGCGUGAGGCAGGAAUGGGGAAUAAGGGACGAUGGGCGAAUGACGGAGCCAGCAAGGCCGCGUGGGUGAGGAAGGCGAGAGGGGGGUAAAGCUCUGUUACCCGGGAUGAUAAUGACAGUACCGGGAGAAUAAGCGCCGGCUAACUACGUG
rnacentral:rRNA from 1 species